GCAGCCGCGGUAAUACGGAGGAUCCAAGCGUUAUCCGGAUUUAUUGGGUUUAAAGGGUGCGUAGGCGGUUUGAUAAGUUAGAGGUUAAAUGUCAGGGCUCAACUCUGGCCUGCCUCUAAUACUGUUGAACUAGAGAGUAGAUGCGGUAGGCGGAAUGUAUGGUGUAGCGGUGAAAUGCGUAGAGAUCAUACAGAACACCGAUUGCGAAGGCAGCUUACCAAACUAUAUCUGACGUUGAGGCACGAAAGCGUGGGUAGCAAACAGGAUUAGAUACCCC
rnacentral:rRNA from 1 species